AAAAUAGUUCCAAUUCAACAAAAACAAUCCUAGAAAUUAUUAACUCGUUAGCUGAAACUAAUAUAGCGGUCAAUAUGAAAUCUACUUUUGAACCAUGGUGACACUGUGCAAAAAAUGUAAACACCAAUAUUGAUAAAAAGUCUUUCACAAAUAAAAUGGAAUUCCGAAGAAGACCUUGACAAACUUCACAUUUAACUAGUAUACCGUCAAACCUGUUUUAAGAGACCACUUAAUAGUUAUAGUUAAGGGAGAGCAAAAAUGUGGGCUCUUAAUACAGGUGGUCUGUAAUAAAGGUUCAGUUUAUAUGAAAUGUACUACAGAGGAAUUUAAAAUUAUACAGGUUGUCUCUUAAGCAGUCUUGACUGUACUUGUGUUGUCUAAUAAAAGAUUUCUUUACAAACUACGUACUUUACGUACUGUAACCCCCGGCG
rnacentral:lncRNA from 1 species